UUGGAGGGCAAGUCUGGUGCCAGCAGCCGCGGUAAUUCCAGCUCCAAUAGCGUAUAUUAAAGUUGUUGCAGUUAAAAAGCUCGUAGUUGAAUUUCGGGGUCAAUAAGUUGGUCGUGCCAAUGGUAUGCACUGGCUUUAUUGAUUCCUACCUCUUGACGAACUGUGAUGCCAUUAAUUUGGUGUCGCAAGGAAUCAGGACUGUUACCUUGAAAAAAUUAGAGUGUUUAAAGCAGGC
rnacentral:rRNA from 1 species